rnacentral:rRNA from 1 species
UAGGGAAUAUUAGUAAUGGGCGAAAGCCUGAACUAGCAACACCGCGUGUGCGAAGAAGGCCUUCGGGUUGUAAAGCACUUUUUGAGAGGAUGAGGAAGGACGGUACUCUCAGAAUAAGUCUAGGCUAACUACGUGCCAGCAGCCGCUGUAACACGUAGGAGGCAAACGUUAUCCGGAUUUACUGGGCGUAAAGCGCGUGUAGGUGGUUUGGUAAGUAGAGCGUGAAAGCUCCUGGCUCAACUGGGAGAGGUCGUUCUAAACUGCCGGACUAGAGGAUGGUAGAGGGAGGUGGAAUUCCGGGUGUAGCGGUGGAAUGCGCAGAUAUCCGGAGGAACACCAGUGGCGAAAGCGGCCUCCUGGACCACUCCUGACACUCAGACGCGAAAGCUUGGGUAGCAAACG